GACAGAGGCCCCAAGCGUUAGGCGGAAUCACUGGGCGUAAAGCGUGUGUAGGCGGACGCCUAAGUGUCUUGUGAAAUCCCACGGCUCACCCGUGGAACUGCUGGGCAUACUGUGCGUCUUGGGCCAACUAGGGGCAGCCGGAACAAGCGGUGGAGCGGUGAAAUGCGUAGAUAUCGCUUGGAACGCCGAAGGUGAAAACAGGCUGCUGGGGUUGUGCCGACGCUGAGACACGAAAGCCAGGGGAGCAAACGGG
rnacentral:rRNA from 1 species